ensembl:rRNA 5S_rRNA 5S ribosomal RNA
CCCUAUGGCCAUACCACCCUGAGCGCUCCGGAUCUCAUCUUAUCUCAGAAGCUAAGCAGGGUCGGUCCUGGUUAGUACUUGGAUGGGAGGCUGGCUGGGAAUAUGGGGUGCUAUAGGCU